GCCAGGUGUGGUGGCUCACGCCUGUAAUCCCAGCACUUUGGGAGGCAGAGGUGGGAGGAUCACUUGAGGUCAGGACUUCGAGACCAGCCUGACCAAUAUGGUGAAAUCCUGUCUCUA
rnacentral:SRP_RNA from 2 species